ACCGGGCCUGGUGAAAAAUUUGAUAUUCCGAAGUCGCCCAAACAAGAAAAUGCAAAAUGGCUCCAUAGCGCCCCCUAAGGUGAAAAUUCACACUAUUGACUGUCACGCCUGUACGCUUUGUCAAAAUGACACAAAAUUUGACACACACAUGUAUCUCAAUAAGAUCUACAAAAAAGUCAGUGCGGGCGUAUCUGUCAAAUGUACGGUUAAAGGGUUAUUUCGCAUUUUUUGCCGAUCCGCACACAUUGGAAUUUCGCUAACUCCUCCGAAGGCUUUCGUUCCACCGGCACCACAUUUGCUCAGGCCAAUCUACACCCCAUGGCCAUUAAAAGUUAUUCAAAUCAUGACGCUGCACCCCACGGUUUAGGUUCUAGGGGGCGCCAAAGAUAACCCUAAAAUCCACAUAUUUAAAAGUCUUAUAACUUUUUAUUUUUGCCCUCACUGGCCUCCAAGUUUUCUAGGAUGAUGCAAUGUCCAGCCAUCAACACAUUUGUGAAGGAAUUUUUACUCCCCAAAAGAGCGCCCCCCCAUGGCAGGAGAAAAAAGUCCAUUUUUUCUUGUCCCCUAAGGUGAAAAUACACAUUGUUGAGUGUCACGCCUGUACGCUUUGUCAAAAUGACACAAAAAUUGACACACACAUGUAUCUCAAUAAGAUCUACAAAAAAGUCUAUGCGCGCGUAUCUGUCAAAUGUACGGUUAAAGGGUUAUUCCGCAUUUUUUGCCGAUUCGCACACAUUGGAAUUUCGCUAACUCCUCCGAAGGCUUUCGUUCCACCGGCACCACAUUUGCUCAGGCCAAUCUACACUCCAUGGCCAUUAAAAGUUAUUCAAAUCAUGACGCUGCACCCCACGGUUUACGUUCUAGGGGGCGCCAAAGAUAACCCAAAAAUCCACAUUUUUAAAAGUCUUUUAACUUUUUAUUUUUGUCCUCACUGGCCUCCAAGUUUUCUAGGAUGAUGCAAUGUCCAGCCAUCAACACAUUUGUGAAGGAAUUUUUACUCCCUAAAAGAGCGCCCCCCCAUGGCAGGAGAAAAAAGUCCAUGUUUUCUUGUCCCCUAAGGUGAAAAUACACAUUGUUGACUGUCACGCAUGUACGCUUUGGCAAAAUGACACAAAAAUUGACAAUCAUGUGUAUCUCAAUUAGAUCUACGAAAAAGUCAAAGAGCGCGUAUCUGUAUAAUGUACGGUAAAAGGGCUUUUUUGCAUUUUUUGCCGAUUCGCACACAUUGGAAUUUCGCUAACUCCUCCUAAGGCUUUCGUCCCACUGACACCAAAUUUGCUCAGGCCAAUCUACACUCCAUGGCCAUUCAAAGUUGUAAAAAUCAUGACGCUGCACCCCACGGUUUACGUUUUAGGGGGCGCCAAAGAUGACCCAAAUAUACAUUACAGUAGACAAAGUAGUUUUGCCCACUGAGUGGCGCCAAAGGGACUUGUCUGUGGAGUCUGUGAGUCACUAUUGGCCGUUUUUGACUACUUUAGAUUUUACCUUUAUAUUUCCUCUUACAAAAUUUUUACCUUGCCUUGCCUGGUAUCAUUUUUUUCAGCACAACCUCACCUGUGUCAAUUUACAGUUAUUUUAUCAUUUUGACAUACUAUAUUUACACAUUGGACCCAAAUUCACACACAAAACAUAAAAUCCGAGUGGAAAAAAGUAACGUUUUUACUGUGAAAACCACAAAUAUGUGUGAUGAACUGUUUUUAAAACUUAAACUUCAAAUAAAAAUUGUAAACUUCAAAACAUAUGCAAAUUUUUAACAAAGAACAUAGUGAUUUACCUCUAUUUACAUCAAAAUGCAGGCAAUGGCCCAGGUGUUCUUUGUAAAAUUAUUUACAAAACACUGUAUAGUCUCACAAAUGUCACUUUUUAUUUAUGCCACUACAAAAAAACAUGAUGUAAAUGAUGCAUGAUGUAAAACAUGAUGUAAAAAACUUGUGUAUAUCCUCCUCUAUGUUAGUCCAUGUGUAAUUUUUCCAUAAUUCUUUGUUUUUUGCAGCAUUUUUGUUAGUGUAACUGCAGAUUGUGCUGACAGUGUCUAUGGCAAAAAAAAAAAAAAAAAACUGAAAAUGCCUCAACAUGAACCCCUGGUGGUCUCUGAGGGUGAAACCUGCUAACUGCUGCAGCUCUGUCAGCUUCAGUCUCCCAUGCAGAGCUCGGAGCGCAUGUGUGGCUCUGCACCCUUAGCAGCGUUGCUAACUCCUCAGUAAGGAAAGCCUGCUUCAUGUCAGAGUCUCUAAACUCCAGAAGAAGUCGAUAAAAGUCACUUUCUUUCUAAAAAAAAAGUCGUUAGGGGGUCUGAAAAGUCAUUGAAUCUAACAACAAAGUCGCUAGGUUUGCAACUACGUGUCCCAGACUGCAUCCCUGCUGAGAGUCCCUCCCUCCCUUCUCAUAUUGCAGGAAGAACGUAAGCGCCCGCCCUUUGUCAAUCAGUCACCAUAUAAUUUUGGAUUGGUUGUUGUGGUGAAGUUUUCCACCAAUAGGAGAGAUGUUGUGGUGUGUUUUUUUUUUCCUUUGGCAAGCCUUUUCCGCCUGUAAGAGCUGUCGCUAAUGUCUGCAUGCUAUGUUUUCCUGUCUCAUACAGCGCGAUCGAGCGCCGAACGUGAUCAAAAUAAGCAGAAAACAAGUAUCGCGGACAUAAUUUAUCAUAACUCUGGUUUUAUUUGGCCUAUCAACACAAUUUAAAAACUGGUAUAUAGGUUGAGGUCCUCACUUUUGAGAUAAGUUGAAACGGAGUCAACGAGGCUCCGUCUUGCAGCUACAUCUGGUUAAAUAUGUCAUGUGACUUGAACGCACACACACACACACACACACACACACAGACACACACACACACGCACACACACACACUCAGAGUCUGGUUUUUAGCACCUGCAAAAACAUGCUAUUUACAUAUUUGACAAGAAUGCAGAGGCUCCUUUUGCCCCUGAAAAAAAUCAAAUUUCAAACACAACUUGACUGGUCAUUUCUCCAAAAGACAACCAUGAAGCUCCAUCCAAACCUGAAGCAGGCAGUUGGUGCAUGUGUACAGUAACCUGAGGGGAGUGAGGUGACUGCUUCUGAGGAGAACAUGAGCAGUGAAGAUUCACCUUAGAGCUAGAACAGAGACGUGCACAUGAUUAUACAGGGGCAGGGGCUCAAGUUUUUUCCAGUUGUUUAUACAAUAUGGAAAUUAAUGUGAAAUUAAAAAACAAAGUAUUAAUAGAAAGGUAAUGACUGUCCUGAGUAGGUGACAGUGAUAUCCAAUAGGCUAGGCACUCAAGAGGCUGGCUGUGGCAAGUGUAAGUGAAAGCAACACGCACUGGCAGGAAGAACAGCAAACGCCGAUGAAGGAAAAGGGUCUUUGCAGUGAUGGGCGUUACCAGAGAGGGCGAUGGCCAGAGGACACAAAUGGGACGGGGAGGCAGCGCGUUGGGGGGGGGACGCGACACAGCUCGGGCCCGCCAGUGCCCCAACGGGGUCCUAGUUCUUUCUUUCUUCUUUUUCCUCCCCUUUGAACUGGAAAAUGGCCCACUUCCCUCUGGCGAAAACUCAUGAAAUUUGGCAGGACGACCGGGCCUGGUGAAAAAUUCGAUAUUCUGAAGUCGCCCAAACAAUAAAAUGCAAAAUGGCUCCAUAGCGCCCCCUAAGGUGGAAAUUCACACUAUUGACUGUCACGCCUGUACGCUUUGUCAUAUUGACACAAAAAUUGACACACAUAUGUAUCUCAAUAAGAUCUACAAAAAAGUCAGUGCGGCCGUAUCUGUCAAAAUUACGGUUAAAGGGUUAUUUCGCAUUUUUUGCCGAUCCGCACACAUUGGAAUUUCGCUAACUCCUCCGAAGGCUUUCGUUCCACCGGCACCACAUUUGCUCAGGCCAAUCUACACCCCGUGGCCAUUAAAAGUUAUCAAAAUCAUGACGCUGCACCCCAAGGUUUAGGUUCUAGGGGGCGCCAAAGAUAACACUAAAAUCCACAUAUUUUAAAGUCUUAUAACUUUUUAUUUUUGUCCUCACUGGCCUCCAAGUUUUCUAGGAUGAUGCAAUGUCCAGCCAUCAACACAUUUGUGAAGGAAUUUUUACUCCCCAAAAGAGCGCCCCCCCAUGGCAGGAGAAAAAAGUCCAUUUUUUCUUGUCGCCUAAGGUGAAAAUACACAUUGUUGAGUGUCACGCCUAUACGCUUUGUCAAAAUGACACAAAAAUUGACACACACAUGUAACUCAAUAAGAUCUACAAAAAAGUCCAUGCGCGCGUAUCUGUCAAAUGUACAGUUAAAGGGUUAUUCCGCAUUUUUUGCCGAUACGCACGCAUUGGAAUUACGCUAACUCCUCCGAAGGCUUUCGUUCCACCGGCACCAUAUUUGCUCAGGCCAAUCUACACCCCAUGGCCAUUGAAAGUUAUUCAAAUCAUGAUGCUGCACCCCAUGGUUUAGGUUCUAGGGGGCGCCAAAAAUAACCCAAAAAUCCACAUUCUUAAAUGUUUUAUAACUUUUUAUUUUUGUCCUCACUGGCCUCCAAGUUUUCUAGGAUGAUGCAAUGUCCAGCCAUCAACACAUUUGUGAAGGAAUUUUUACUCCCCAAAAGAGCGCCCCCCCAUGGUAGGAGAAAAAAGUCAAUUUUUUCUUGUCCCCUUACAUAAAAAUACACAUUGUUGAGUGUCACGCCUCAACGCUUUGUCAUAUUGACACAAAAAUUGACAAUCAUGUGUAUCUCAAUUAGAUCUACGAAAAAGUCAAAGAGCGCGUAUCUGUAUAAUGUACGGUUAAAGGGCUAUUUUGCAUUUUUUGCCGAUUCGCACACAUUGGAAUGUGGCUAUCUCCUCCUAAGGCUUUCGUCCCACCAAUACCAAAUUUGCUCAGGCCAAUCUACACCCCAUGGCCAUUCAAAGUUGUAAAAAUCAUGACGCUGCACCCCACGGUUUACGUUCUAGGGGGCGCCAAAGAUGACCCAAAAAUCCACAUUCUUAAAAGUCAUUUUGGCCACUGCAGGAGUACAGAGUACUGCAGUUCUAGGGGGCGCCAAAGAUGACCCAAAAAUCCACAUUCUUAAAAGUCUUUUUGGCCACUGCAGGAGUACAGAGUACUGCAGGAUACACACACAUAUACACACACGCCAACAUACACACACACACACACACACACACACACACACACACACAGACACACACACACACUCAGAGUCUGUUUUUUAGCACCUGCAAAAACAUGCUGUUUACAUAUUUGACAAGAAUGCAGAGGCUUCCUUUUGCCCCUGAAAAAAAUCAAAUUUCAAACACAACUUGACUGUUCAUUUCUCCAAAAGACAACCAUGAAGCUCCAUUUCAAACCUGAAGCAGAUAGUUGGUGCAUGUGUACAGUAACCUGAGGGGAGUGAGGUGACUAUUUCUGAGGAGAACAUGAGCAGUGAAGAUUCACCUUGGAGCUAGAACAGGGACGUGCACAUGAUUAUACAGGGGCAGGGGCUCAAGUUUUUUCCAGUCAUUUAUACAAUAUGGAAAUUAAUGUGAAAUUAAACCACAAAUAUGUGUGAUGAACUGUUUUUAAAACUUAAACUUCAAAUAAAAAUUGUAAACUUCAAAACAUAUGCAAAUUUUUAACAAAGAACAUAGUAAUUUACCUCUAUUUACAUCAAAAUGCAGGCAAUGGCCCAGGCGUUCUUUGUAAAAUUAUUUACAAAACACUGUAUAGUCUCACAAAUGUCACUUUUUAUUUAUGCCACUACAAAAAAACAUGAUGUAAAUGAUGCAUGAUGUAAAACAUGAUGUAAAAAACUUGUGUAGAUCCUCCUCUAUGUCAGUCCAUGUGUAAUUUUUCCAUAAUUCUUUGUUUUUUGCAGCAUUUUUGUUAGUGUAACUGCAGAUUGUGCUGACAGUGUCUAUGGCACAAAAAAAAAAAAAAAAUUAAAAUGCCUCAACAUGAACCCCUGGUGGUCUCUGAGGGUGAAACCUGCUAACUGCUGCAGCUCUGUCAGCUUCAGUCUCCCAUGCAGAGCUCUGAGCGCAUGUGUGGCUCUGCACCCUUAGCAGCGUUGCUAACUCCUCAGUAAGGAAAGCCUGCUUCAUGUCAGAGUCUCUAAACUCCAGAAGAAGUUGAUAAAAGUCCCUUUCUUUCUAAAAAAAAGUCGUUAGGGGGUCUGAAAAGUCAUUGAAUCUAACAACAAAGUCGCUAGGUUUGCAACUACGUGUCCCAGACUGCAUCCCUGCUGAGAGUCCCUCCCUCCCUUCUCAUGUUGCAGGAAGAACGUAAGCGCCCGCCCCUUGUCAAUCAGUCACCAUAUAAUUUUGGAUUGGUUGUUGUGGUGAAGUUUUCCACCAAUAGGAGAGAUGUUGUGGUGUGUUUUUUUUUUCUUUUGGCAAGCCUUUUCCGCCUGUAAGACCUGUCGCUAAUGUCUGCAUGCUAUGUUUUCCUGUCUCAUACAGCGCGAUCGAGCGCCGAACGUGAUCAAAAUAAGCAGAAAACAAGUAUCGCGGACAUAAUUUAUCAUAACUCUGGUUUUAUUUGGCCUAUCAACACAAUUUAAAAACUGGUAUAUAGGUUGAGGUCCUCACUUUUGAGAUAAGUUGAAACGGAGAGUCAACGAGGCUCCGUCUUGCAGCUACAUCCGGUUAAAUAUGUCAUGUGACUUGAACGCACACAUAGACGCACACACACACACACACACACACACACACACACACACACACACACACUCAGAGUCUGGGUUUUAGCACUUGCAAAAACAUGCUAUUUACAUAUUUGACAAGAAUGCAGAGGCUCCUUUUGCCCCUGAAAAAAAUCAAAUUUCAAACACAACCUGACUGGUCAUUUCUCCAAAAGACAACCAUGAAGCUCCAUCCAAACCUGAAGCAGGCAGUUGGUGCAUGUGUACAGUAACCUGAGGGGAGUGAGGUGAGUGCUUCUGAGGAGAACAUGAGCAGUGAAGAUUCACCUUGGAGCUAGAACAGAGACAUGCACAUGAUUAUACAGGGGCAGGGGCUCAAGUUUUUUCCAGUCGUUUAUACAAUAUGGAAAUUAAUGUGAAAUUAAAACACAAAGUAUUAAUAGAAAGGUAAUGACUGUCCUGUGUAGGUGACAGUGUUAUCAAAUAGGCUAGGCACUCACGAGGCUGGCUGUGGCAAGUGUAAGUGAAAGCAACACGCACUGGCAGGAAGAACAGCAAACGCCGAUGAAGGAAAAGGGUCUUUGCAGUGAUGGGCGUUACCAGAGAGGGCGAUGGCCAGAGGACACAAAUGGGACGGGGAGGCAGCACGUUGGGGGGGGGGGGGGGGGGACGCAACACGGCUCGGGCCCGCCAGUGCCCCAACGGGGUCCUAGUUAGGGCCCGAGCGUAGCUGCUAAGCAGCUACGAGAGCCCUCUUGUUCCUGUAGUUUCCUUCUUUAGGGCCCGAGCGUAGCUGCUAAGCAGCUGCGAGAGCCCUAUUAUUCCCCAAGGGGUUUUUCUUUGUUUCUUUCUUUCUUUCUUUCUUCUUUUUCCUCCCCUUUGAACUGGAAAAUGGCCCACUUCCCACUGGCGAAAACUCAGGAAAUUUGGCAGGACGACCGGGCCUGGUGAAAAAUUCGAUAUUCUGAAGUCGCCCAAACAAUAAAAUGCAAAAUGGCUCCAUAGCGCCCCCUAAGGUGGAAAUUCACACUAUUGACUGUCACGCCUGUACGCUUUGUCAUAUUGACACAAAAAUUGACACACAUAUGUAUCUCAAUAAGAUCUACAAAAAAGUCAGUGCGGGCGUAUCUGUCAAAUGUACGGUUUAUGGGUUAUUUUGCAUUUUUUGCAGAUCUGCACACAUUGGAAUUUCGCUAACUCCUCCGAAGGCUUUCGUUCCACCGGCACCACAUUUGCUCAGGCCAAUCUACACCCCGUGGCCAUUAAAAGUUAUUCAAAUCAUGACGCUGCAACCCACGGUUUAGGUUCUAGGGGGCGCCAAAGAUAACACUAAAAUCCACAUAUUUAAAAGUCUUAUAACUUUUUAUUUUUGUCCUCACUGGCCUCCAAGUUUUCUAGGAUGAUGCAAUGUCCAGCCAUCAACACAUUUGUGAAGGAAUUUUUACUCCCCAAAAGAGCGCCCCCCCAUGGCAGGAGAAAAAACUCCAUUUUUUCUUGUCCCCUAAGGUGAAAAUACACAUUGUUGACUGUCACGCCUUUACGCUUUGUCAAAAUGACACAAAAAUUGACACACACAUGUAACUCAAUAAGAUCUACGAAAAAGUCAAUGCGCGCGUAUCUGUCAAAUGUACGGUUAAAGGGUUAUUCCGCAUUUUUUGCCGAUCCGCACACAUUGGAAUUUCGCUAACUCCUCCGAAGGCUUUCUGUCCACCGGCACCACAUUUGCUUAGGCCAAUCUACACCCCAUGGCCAUUAAAAGUUAUUCAAAUCAUGAUGCUGCACCCCACGGUUUAGGUUCUAGGGGGCGCCAAAGACAACCCUAAAAUCCACAUUCUUAAAUGUUUUAUAACUUUUUAUUUUUGUCCUCACUGGCCUCCAAGUUUUCUAGGAUGAUGCAAUGUCCAGCCAUCAACACAUUUGUGAAGGAAUUUUUACUCCCCAAAAGAGCGCCCCCCAUGGUAGGAGAAAAAAGUCAAUUUUUUCUUGUCCCCUUACAUAAAAAUACACAUUGUUGAGUGUCACGCCUGUACGCUUUGUCAUAUUGACACAAAAAUUGACAAUCACGUGUAUCUCAAUAAGAUCUACGAAAAAGUCAAAGAGCGCGUAUCUGUAUAAUGUACGGUAAAAGGGCUAUUUUGCAUUUUUUGCCGAUCCGCACACAUUGGAAUGUGGCUAUCUCCUCCUAAGGCUUUCGUCCCACCGAUACCAAAUUUGCUCAGGGCAAUCUACACCCCAUGCCCAUUCAAAGUUGUAAAAAUCAUGACGCUGCACCCCACGGUUUACGUUCUAGGGGGCGCCAAAGAUGACCCAAAAAUCCACAUUCUUAAAAGUCAUUUUGGCCACUGCAGGAGUACAGAGUACUGCAGUUCUAGGGGGCGCCAAAGAUGACCCAAAAAUCCACAUUCUUAAAAGUCUUUUUGGCCACUGCAGGAGUACAGAGUACUGCAGGAUACACACACAUAUACACACACGCCAACAUACACACACACACACACACACACACACACACACACACACACACACACACACACACACACACACACACACACUCAGAGUCUGUUUUUUAGCACCUGCAAAAACAUGCUGUUUACAUAUUUGACAAGAAUGCAGAGGCUUCCUUUUGCCCCUGAAAAAAAUCAAAUUUCAAACACAACUUGACUGUUCAUUUCUCCAAAAGACAACCAUGAAGCUCCAUUUCAAACCUGAAGCAGAUAGUUGGUGCAUGUGUACAGUAACCUGAGGGGAGUGAGGUGACUAUUUCUGAGGAGAACAUGAGCAGUGAAGAUUCACCUUGGAGCUAGAACAGGGACGUGCACAUGAUUAUACAGGGGCAGGGGCUCAAGUUUUUUCCAGUCAUUUAUACAAUAUGGAAAUUAAUGUGAAAUUAAACCACAAAUAUGUGUGAUGAACUGUUUUUAAAACUUAAACUUCAAAUAAAAAUUGUAAACUUCAAAACAUAUGCAAAUUUUUAACAAAGAACAUAGUAAUUUACCUCUAUUUACAUCAAAAUGCAGGCAAUGGCCCAGGCGUUCUUUGUAAAAUUAUUUACAAAACACUGUAUAGUCUCACAAAUGUCACUUUUUAUUUAUGCCACUACAAAAAAACAUGAUGUAAAUGAUGCAUGAUGUAAAACAUGAUGUAAAAAACUUGUGUAGAUCCUCCUCUAUGUCAGUCCAUGUGUAAUUUUUCCAUAAUUCUUUGUUUUUUGCAGCAUUUUUGUUAGUGUAACUGCAGAUUGUGCUGACAGUGUCUAUGGCACAAAAAAAAAAAAAAUUAAAAUGCCUCAACAUGAACCCCUGGUGGUCUCUGAGGGUGAAACCUGCUAACUGCUGCAGCUCUGUCAGCUUCAGUCUCCCAUGCAGAGCUCUGAGUGCAUGUGUGGCUCUGCACCCUUAGCAGCGUUGCUAACUCCUCAGUAAGGAAAGCCUGCUUCAUGUCAGAGUCUCUAAACUCCAGAAGAAGUCGAUAAAAGUCCCUUUCUUUCUAAAAAAAAGUCGUUAGGGGGUCUGAAAAGUCAUUGAAUCUAACAACAAAGUCGCUAGGUUUGCAACUACGUGUCCCAGACUGCAUCCCUGCUGAGAGUCCCUCCCUCCCUUCUCAUGUUGCAGGAAGAACGUAAGCGCCCUCCCCUUGUCAAUCAGUCACCAUAUAAUUUUGGAUUGGUUGUUGUGGUGAAGUUUUCCACCAAUAGGAGGGAUGUUGUGGUGUGUUUUUUUUUUUUUUUUUUGGCAAGCCUUUUACGCCUGUAAGAACAGUCGCUAAUGUCUGCAUGCUAUGUUUUCCUGUCUCAUACAGCGCGAUCGAGCGCUGAACGUGAUCAAAAUAAGCAGAAAAAAAGUAUCGCGGACAUAAUUUAUCAUAACUCUGGUUUUAUUUGGCCUAUCAACACAAUUUAAAAACUGGUAUAUAGGUUGAGGUCCUCACUUUUGAGAUAAGUUGAAACGGAGAGUCAAUGAGGCUCCGUCUUGCAGCUACAUCCGGUUAAAUAUGUCAUGUGACUUGAACGCACACACAGACACACACACACGCACACACACACAGACACACACACACGCACACACACACACACACACACACACACACACACACUCAGAGUCUGGUUUUUAGCACCUGCAAAAACAUGCUAUUUACAUAUUUGACAAGAAUGCAGAGGCUCCUUUUGCCCCUGAAAAAAAAAUCAAAUUUCAAACACAACUUGACUGGUCAUUUCUCCAAAAGACAACCAUGAAGCUCCAUCCAAACCUGAAGCAGGCAGUUGGUGCAUGUGUACAGUAACCUGAGGGGAGUGAGGUGAGUGCUUCUGAGGAGAACAUGAGCAGUGAAGAUUCACCUUGGAGCUAGAACAGAGACAUGCACAUGAUUAUACAGGGGCAGGGGCUCAAGUUUUUUUCCAGUUGUUUAUACAAUAUGGAAAUUAAUGUGAAAUUAAAACACAAAGUAUUAAUAGAAAGGUAAUGACUGUCCUGUGUAGGUGACAGUGAUAUCGAAUAGGCUAGGCACUCACGAGGCUGGCUGUGGCAAGUGUAAGUGAAAGCAACACGCACUGGCAGGAAGAACAGCAAACGCCGAUGAAGGAAAAGGGUCUUUGCAGUGAUGGGCGUUACCAGAGAGGGCGAUGGCCAGAGGACACAAAUGGGACGGGGAGGCAGCGCGUUGGGGGGGGGACGCGACACAGCUCGGGCCCGCCAGUGCCCCAACGGGGUCCUAGUUAUUAGGGCCCGAGCGUAGCUGCUAAGCAGCUGCGAGAGCCCUCUUGUUCCUGUAGUUUCCUUCUUUUGUUAUUAGGGCCCGAGCGUAGCUGCUAAGCAGCUGCGAGAGCCCUCUUGUUCCUGUAGUUUCCUUCUUUUGUUAUUAUUAUUAUUAUUAUUAUUUUUCCUCCCCUUUGAACUGGAAAAUGGCCCACUUCCCACUGGCGAAAACUCAUGAAAUUUGGCAGGACGACCGGGCCUGGUGAAAAAUUUGAUAUUCCGAAGUCGCCCAAACCAGAAAAUUCAAAAUGGCUCCAUAGCGCCCCCUAAGGUGAAAAUUCACACUAUUCACUGUCACGCCUGUACGCUUUGUCAAAAUGACACAAAAAUUGACACACACAUGUAUCUCAAUAAGAUCUACAAAAAAGUCAGUGCGGGCGUAUCUGUCAAAUGUACGGUUAAAGGGUUAUUUCGCAUUUUUUGCCGAUCCGCACACAUUGGAAUUUCGCUAACUCCUCCGAAGGCUUUCGUUCCACCGGCACCACAUUUGCUCAGGCCAAUCUACACCCC